GAUCUCGUAGCUCAGCUGGUAGAGCACAACACUUUUAAUGUUGGGGCCCUGGGUUCGAGUCCCAGCGGGAUCA
rnacentral:tRNA from 1 species